ACCCCCAGAACGACCUAAAGAACGUCCAAAACGGACAUCCGGAACCCCUCAAACUAUCAAAAAUAAAAGCAACAGCAGAAAAGGGCGCCCAGCGCCCUUUAGGGGCGCCCGGGCGCCAUAUUUCUGGCAAAACGCCGAAUCAAAGGGCGCCCAGCAUCCUUUAGGGGCGCCCAGGCGUGGAUUCUGCAGAGUUUUCUGCAGAUUGCAAAACUCACCCACCCAAAAUUGGUUCUAGGCUUUUUGAUGAGGUUCUAACCUUCCUAAAUCG
rnacentral:lncRNA from 1 species